rfam:Ananas comosus cultivar MD2 ACMD2_Scaffold_1388, whole genome shotgun sequence.
AGGAUAAGAGCCACUUAGGCUAGCCAAGGAGACUGCCUAUGGAACCACAUGUAGCCUUAGUUGGCAAAAGCUUCAAAGAGGUUGCAGGCAAGUCAUCCUUGGCUAUCAAAGAUAAACUCUUAUCA